GGAGCAGUGGCCGAGUGGUUGAAGGCACCGGUCUUGAAAACCGGCGUAGGGAAACCUACCGGGGGUUCGAAUCCCUCCUGCUCCG
rnacentral:tRNA from 1 species